rnacentral:rRNA from 1 species
GACGGAAGGUGCAAGCGUUGCUCGGAUUCAUUGGGCGUAAAGGGUGCGUAGGCGGCGCGGUAAGUCGGGUGUGAAAUCUCGGAGCUUAACUCCGAAACUGCAUUCGAUACUGCCGUGCUUGAGGACUGGAGAGGAGACUGGAAUUUACGGUGUAGCGGUGAAAUGCGUAGAUAUCGUAAGGAAGACCAGUGGCGAAGGCGGGUCUCUGGACAGUUCCUGACGCUGAGGCACGAAGGUCAGGGGAGCAAACGGG